rnacentral:rRNA from 1 species
UACCAGACUCCUACGGGAGGCAGCAGUGGGGAAUAUUGCACAAUGGGGGAAACCCUGAUGCAGCGACGCCGCGUGAGCGAUGAAGUAUUUCGGUAUGUAAAGCUCUAUCAGCAGGGAAGAAGAUGACGGUACCUGACUAAGGAGCCCCGGCUAACUACGUGCCAGCAGCCGCGGUAAUACGUAGGGGGCAAGCGUUAUCCGGAUUUACUGGGUGUAAAGGGAGCGUAGACGGCGAUGCAAGCCAGAUGUGAAAGCCCGGGGCUCAACCCCGGGACUGCAUUUGGAACUGUGUGGCUGGAGUGUCGGAGAGGCAGGCGGAAUUCCUAGUGUAGCGGUGAAAUGCGUAGAUAUUAGGAGGAACACCAGUGGCGAAGGCGGCCUGCUGGACGAUGACUGACGUUGAGGCUCGAAAGCGUGGGGAGCAAACAGGAUUAGAUACCCCGGUA